UACAGGGGGUGCAAACGUUGCUCGGAAUCACUGGGCGUAAAGCGCACGUAGGCGGCUCUUUAAGUCAGGGGUGAAAUCCUGGAGCUCAACUCCAGAACCGCCCUUGAUACUGAGGAGCUUGAGUCCGGGAGAGGUGAGUGGAACUGCGAGUGUAGAGGUGAAAUUCGUAGAUAUUCGCAAGAACACCAGUGGCGAAGGCGGCUCACUGGCCCGGUACUGACGCUGAGGUGCGAAAGCGUGGGGAGCAAACAGG
rnacentral:rRNA from 1 species